AUUUGACAUGAUUUAGAAUAACACAUGGAGGAUGAGUGUAUUUAAAUAAGUUCUCAGGAAAAGCACAUCAUCUCUCAGGGCUUCAGAAUUUCAGCCUCUGACUCUUGAGUCUUACCUUGGAUAUCAGCAAUAAAAUUGUGCUCACUUGCAUAGAGAGAAUUACAAACCAAUACCAAAUAAUCUGAGAUAGCAUUAAUUUGGUUAAAGAAGAAAAUUUGGAGAAGCAUAUCGUUUUUACAAAUUCAAUUUGUCAAAGUAUCUACAGAUGUUCUCCCUGAAACUUCUUUUCAAAUUGAUUUUUCUCUGCCAGGACUCAGCCAAAUAUGAAGAUCCUUGUCUUUGCCUUUAUCAUGGCUUUCAUGGUUGCCAUGAUCGGAUCUGAUUCAUCUGAAGAGAGAUGAUAUUUAAAUCGGCCACAUCAAUAUCCUUGCAUACUUCCAAUAAAUGACAUACCAGUUCCUUAUCCAGCUCCUUUCAAUUUUGCUCGGUAAUCCCAGGAUAUGAUUCCAGAGGCUUGGUGGAAAGUCCUAUUUGCUGUCUUUCAUGAUGAUUCUUCCUAUUCAAAAGUCCUUUACCCACCUAGCAAAAUUUUGUAGCCCGGAUAUAAUAAACACUCUCAAAGUGCUUUUAAAAUCA